UCUCUCUCUAACUUAAGUAUCGGAGGGGCGAUGAUGACAUAUCUCGACACCUUUGUUUCAAGUACUGGAAGAUCUUGUUUGUGCUCAUUUUCAAUCAUCAAGCUCAAAAAUCAAUAUGUAUGAUUUUUUAUAGCAUCACCCUCCAUCUCUUCAUCUCUUCCCAUAUCAAUACACCCUAUCUCACAUACAAUUUGAAUCGAACCCUUCAAAUAAUCAGGAAACUAACCUAAAUGAACUAAACCCAAUACCAUUUCCAACCUCUCUAGCGCACUCAACAGAUCCUUGACCUCAAAAUCCCUCCCUCCACCAAAUGAACUGGGGGCUAAUCUUUUUCUAAUCUUGCAUAAUAGCAACAUUGUCGAAUUGGGAGUUUCCAAUAGUGACUAAGAAUGGAAAAAGGCGAACAAUAUUAUUUUGGACACUAUAUAAAAAGAACCUAUGUCGAUUUCCUUCAAUUCAGGCGGCAAAAAGUGGUUCUUUGAGAGCAUAUAAAGCAGCAAAAAUGGAGUAGAAAAAUGUUCUCUGAGAGGGUGAAUUUUGGAGUGUAAAGAAAAGAGAAGAUGAGAAUUUUGGUGGCAAGAGAUGGGACUGAGGAGCUAGUUUUUGCUUUGACACUGAAGAAUGGAUGGUUUAGUUUGGCUGGCUGCAUCACUGGUGAUCGGAUUAGCUGAUGGUAUUUCUGGCAAUUAAUGUUUGGGUGGCAACAGCGAUGCCAGUGCUGUGUGGGUGGUGCUGGUGGUGGUUGGCCUGUGG
rnacentral:lncRNA from 1 species